rnacentral:rRNA from 1 species
GACGAACGCUGGCGGCGUGCUUAACACAUGCAAGUCGAACGGAAAGGCCCUGCUUUUGUGGGUUGCUCGAGUGGCGAACGGGUGAGUAACACGUGAGUAACCUGCCCCUGACUUUGGGAUAACUUCAGGAAACUGGGGCUAAUACCGGAUAGGAGCUCCUGCUGCAUGGUGGGGGUUGGAAAGUUUCGGCGGUUGGGGAUGGACUCGCGGCUUAUCAGCUUGUUGGUGGGGUAGUGGCUUACCAAGGCUUUGACGGGUAGCCGGCCUGAGAGGGUGACCGGACACAUUGGGACUGAGAUACGGACCAGACUCCUACGGGAGGCAACAGUGGAGAGUAUUGCACAGUGGACGGAAGCCUGAUGCAGCAACGCCGCGUGCGGGAUGACGGCCUUCGAGUUGUAAACCGCUUUCGCCUGUGACGAAGCGUGAGUGACGGUAAUGGGUAAAGAAGCACCGGCUAACUACGUG